UCUGGCCCAAGCACAGUCGUCUUCUUAUUGGCUGCUGGACACGUGGGAACCCGCUCUGACUGGUGGGGGAAAGAAGGGCUGGCCGGUACUGGAAGUAGCUGUGCGGGCUGGAGGAGGCAGUUCUGAAACUGAUGGUCACAGGGAGGAGCCAUGAGGGCGUCCCUGGGGACUUUCGUCCUGCUCUUGUGGCUGUCGCUGCACUGGCUCAGCCGAGGACAGAAGGUGGAGCAGCAUCCUUCCACCCUGAGUGUCCAGGAGGGAAGCAGCUCUGUUAUCACCUGUAGUUACUCAGACAGCGCCUCAGACUACUUCCCUUGGUAUAAGCAAGAACUUGGAAAAGGUCCCCAGCUCAUUAUAGACAUUCGUUCAAAUGUGGCCAGAAAAGAAGAGCAAAGACUCACUGUUUUAUUGAAUAAGACGACCAAGCAUCUGUCCCUGCACAUCGCAGCCACCCAGCCUGCAGACUCAGCGGUCUACUUCUGUGCAGCAAGUACACAUUGCGUCCCAGACACCUGCCGCCUGUGCUCAAACCUGCUACGGGGCAGCCCCUGUCCUUUGACACAGACCUUCAAGUAGGGAAUUUGUGCUAUUGUUUGUCUGCAGGCGGUAGCUGAUGUAUUAGAGAUAAAAGCAUAACAUAAGGCUCUUGGGCCCAAGAUGACCCAGACAGGGUUUGAACAUUUUCUUGGAUGAUUGCUGCUUAAUGUUUGAAGGGAGUUAGGAAGUUCUAUUUUGAAAAUCAGUUCUUAAAGGUAACUUUGCAUUUGCUAUUCAGACUCCUGUCAUACAAACAACUCCUUGGUAAAUUAUCACAUUCCUAUCAUGGAUUAGCUUUCAACUCUUGUCUUUCCAUUACUGCAGAUGUUAUUUUUGGUCUGUUAUAAAACAUUAGAUGCUAAAUAUAAAAAAUAUGUAAAAAGCAAAGUGUGAAAUUGAUCGUUGUGUACCCAGGUAUUUUAGUAUUAAUGUUUGGUUUACUCUCUUACAUUGUAAUAACUUGGAUUCUUUGUUUUUCCACUCAAUGUUAUAUCCUGGACUGAGCAUUCUCCUCUAACACCUGAGUUUUUAAUAGCUCUGUGAGAGAUUUUCAAGAGUCACAGUUAUAUUUUUAAUAAUCUUCCUCUUCUAUCUUUCUGGCAAAAUUUGGCAGUCCUUUUUAUGUGUUCUUAUUAUUUUCUUGUUGAGAUAAUGUGACCUGGGAUUUUUUGAGAGCCCAGUGAUGGUAUGUAAUUUAUGUGUAUUUGAGGGAAAUUAAAAGCAGAAGUGAUUUAUUCAAGAAUUUGAGUUGAGAACUAGACUCUUUUCAACAUUUUGUUAGUAUAUGUUCACAUUUACAUUCAUAUAAUUUAGAAGACAAAGUUGUGUCUUUAAUCAUUAUU